GGCACUGACAUCAGCAGAGCCCAGAACUCCUCCCGCUGGCCAGCAUGGGCUCUUUCUUCCCAGCCAAAGCUCUGACUUCCACCGUCAUAGCACUGGAGCAGCACCUCAUAAAGCAGACAAACAGACACUGCUGAAUAGAACUCUGAUAGAAGGUGGAAGACGAAUUGGACUCAGUGCUUAUGGGUUCCAUCCAACUUGGGAUAAUCUAUGAUUCACAGGUUUUGAAAUUUGUGGCUUAUUGUGGAUGGCCAGAUGGAUGCAAGAGUAAAGAAGACUGUCUACUCAACAUUUUCACAGAGAAAACUGCCGAGCUGGAAUGUGAAGUCUGUGUAAGUCCAGGAGGGAAAAAGAACAGGAAUGGUCAAAAACGAAGUCCUGCGGCUAUUGGAACAUCAUCAGUUCUGGCUUCUGGAGGCCUGGUCCACCAAAUUACAACCAUGGAAGAAGGUGUUUUUAAAGUAAUUAUUUAAAUAGUGUUAAUUAGCUCUAUAAAAAUGAAAAAAAAUGAAAAA